ACCGAUGAUGGCGAUUACCAUAUCAAGCUGCGCAACCUGAUCAGUUUCCUGGAAGAGGGUGACAAAGCUAAAAUUACGUUGCGCUUUCGCGGCCGUGAAAUGGCGCAUCAGGAAUUCGGUGUGCGCUUGCUGGAGCGGAUAAGGGGUGAUCUGGAGCCGCAUGCGGUGGUGGAGCAGUUUCCCAGAAUGGAGGGGCGGCAGAUGGUAAUGGUGUUGUCUCCCCGGAAAAAGGAAAUAAAAGUAGCCAAGCCGAAGGAAAGCAAGCCGAAGGCGGAGACUGAUGGCGCCACAUCCGCAAUGGAUUCGGGUGCGGUACCAU
rnacentral:misc_RNA from 1 species